AAAACCUAAGCCAGCUAUCUAAAUACCACUUUUUGAAAGAGAGGAGUAAGGUCUUCAUUGGGAGUUUGAGCUAGUGGUUAAUAGAAGGCUAAGAGAAAGAAUUUAUACAAAAUUAGCUAAAACAGACAGCAUGCUGCCAAGGCAAAAGAUGUGGAGGAUAUAUUAUUUCAUUAACCUUCAAAAGAUUCCUGGUAUGUAUUUCUGAAGAAUCAGCAUGGGGAUUGUGGGGGAGGAAGAGAAAGUUAUUAGUGGGGGAAAAGAAUACCAUUGAGUUUUGUGAAAGCUAACAAAAAAACAUGACUUAAUGCUGACAAGCACCAAACUGGCUGCUCUGAACCUAUUUCUUCAAAAAGACUUUUUCAAAAUUUGGGUAUACGUACGUAGCCAGACAGCCAGGUAUCUUAUUUCAAAAGAAAUCCUUUAACGGUUAUAAUACAGAGUUUCAGCACCUUGAAGAUUCUUACCAUUUUUGAAGUUGCACAGUAAUGAAUACAGGCUUCCUCAGGAGAGGAAGGAGGAGGAGAAAAAGAGGGCAUAGAUGAAGAGUUGCCUGCUGAGUAGGAUAUUCUCCGUGGUGCCCAGAGAAAUCCCAGCUCCAGUCCAGGUCAACAGCUACCCUAACAAAUGCUCUAAUCAUCGCAGGGUUGCACCUCCCCCUCAUUCUCCUGCCAGGAGCUGCAUACGAGACAAAUUUGGUGUCUAUUUUGAGGCUCCCAGGCAGCCCCCAGUGAGAGGCAGGUAUCUAGAUAUUGGGCUCUGCAAGGGCUGUUGUGCAACUGGGUAUGAGCUAGUCAGAGGGUUUUUGUAGUGGUGGUGGUGGUUCUAAUGGAAAUUUAGAUGUUUGUGGUCAUUUAAGCAAGUAGAAGAGGUGCUUGUGCUCCUUUUAGGUACCUCAGUUAUGCCUAUUUGAAAAUUCAGAUGGAUGUGUGCAGUUUUUUUUCCCCAGCAAAAAGGCCAAUUUAAGGCAGUUGUUCUUCCAGCUUCACUUUCCUGACCCCUCAGUUGCAUCAACUGGAACUUUUUGCAGGCCCUGUCUAAAAACCAAAUGAGAUAAAUCAUAAUUUAUGUCUUAAAGAAAUAACUAAUCUAGCUCUCAGAAGAAUGUGACAUCCCAAUGAAUGUGAGACAUAAUGCAACAAAGAGGAAGUGUCCCCUGCUUUGGUGCCAGAGGAAACUUUCCUGUAACAAAACACAGAUACCUAUUACCAUAAAAGGGCCUUAUCUUCUCAUUUGUGUAGUGUGUUCACAUUACACUAGUAUUGUCAGGUUUUAAUUAAACAUUUGGAAAUUGCUAUGGAUUCUUCCAAGAGAGAAGCCAGUAUAAAUAAGACAAUUACACUAAAAUGGGUGAUGAAAUAAGUAAGUGACAGAAGUAAUUCUAUUUGUUACAGAAACUCUCUCUAACAUCUGAUUGUCUUUCCUUCAUAUUAUUAAAAUAAAGUCCUACUUUCCAAACGUAUGUAUGCAGAUCAUUUUUAAACGCAGAGAUUACAGAAAAAGGUAAUUCUUUUAAGAAGAGAAUUGUGCUUGGUGGAAAGGGUAGGCAUCUGUCAGGCCCAGAUAAGAUCAGACAGCUGUGCUCUAUCCUGAAAGGGUAUUGUGAAGCUAAGUUUUCCUAGGGAAAUAAUGUCUUUGGUAUGAAAAGCAGCAAAAUGUAAUGAAGUCUCCAAGCAAAUAAAUUGAGAAAACAGGAAGUCUCAGAGCUCAUUUUUAUCUAAAAUACCAACACUAUAUUGGGAGAAAAAAAAAAUAGAAUGAGAGGAGGAUAACAUCUGAACCACAGUGAAUAAUAUGGAGCAGGAAGAUCAUCUCACUUCAUAUUCUCAAUCAAAUUAAUCCUUUAGAGUAAAAACAAAGUCAAGAGGCGACUUCAGCAACAAUAACAACAGGCUGCUAGGAUAAGAAGAGCGCUGGGACACACAACUCUUAGGAUUAGCAACAGGGUGGCUACAACAGAGACAAGGAAGCAAGCCAGGCAGAAAUCCAGUCAGUGUUGCGAAACAGCUAAAGGGGAAGGUGGAGCCAGGCUGUUCCAAGAGGUGGGCAGUGAAAGGGCCAGUAACAAUAAUCACAAAAUUAAGUGAGGGAAGCUUGGGUUUGACUGAUGGAAGAACGUUCCUCACCGUGAGCGUGGUUAAGCACUGGAAUGGGAAGCCGGGGAAGCCUCCCCCUGGGGGAUUUUCAGAACUUGACCUGAGUCAGCCUCACUCUGAAAAUGGAAUAAGUACUGAAUACCUCAAGAAGUCCUCUUAAGAUCGUUUUUGUAUGAUCCCUAUGGAAUGAUAAGCUUAUGGUUUACUGGGAAGGAGAGCUGUAGACCAGAAUCAUAAGAGAAACUUCAUAAAUGCAAUAACUUCAUGGGAAAAAAUCUCCUAUGCAUCUCGGGCAGUGCCAGGAUUGGCAGUGAAAAUGAGGGGCAUCCAGGAAUGCAUGUCAACAGGAAAGCAAAUAAGAUUCCUGGAGAAAGAAAGAACUGAAUGUGCCUCCAAAAGGGACUUCCAGUAAGAGAUCUGGUCUUCUUCAAAACCAGUUUAAAAGAAAAAGAGAACAGUGAUUUCAAAAACAUUGCUCACCACCUCCCUCUGCUGAGAGUUCCUGUAUGUACCAGCAGAAGUAGAUAAAUCUUGGAGGUACCACUGCUUCUGGACUGCAAGUGAAUCUGUGGAAAGAAAUGCAUUCAUAGAUGAACAGAUGACCUGAAAGUAUCUAUAUAUUAUAUAAUCCAUUUAGACAUCCAUUCUGAGUGAUUGAAGACAAUAUCAGCAGGUAUUUGAUCAUUAGGUGUCAUUAACACAUGCAUAAAGAUAAGUAUUUAUCUGUUCCACUACAAUGAAAGUUCAGAGGUUUAACAUCUCUACUUUAAGAGCUUCUCUGGUUUAGAUUUUCAUAUAGAUGGAGGCAUUAUGAGUCUGAAAUGAUGUGUAAUGUUAAAAAGGCCCAAAAGAUUAUAGCAGUAAUAUUUACUCUAAAGUUUGCCUGGCACUUGUGAGGCAUUGCAAAAAUUCAUAAUUUCUCAACACAAACCUCCCUAGUCUUCCAGCAAGCAUACUUCUAUAUCUUUAAAUAAAAUAAACUUAAAUUAUGUGGGUUGUAGGUCAAAAAUUUAGAGCACUGAGCAGAUUAGAACAACAAAUUGGCUAUUGCUCAGUCACACACACAGGUGUGACCCAGCAGAGGUCAACAGCCAGACAAUUUGUUGAAGCAUGGAAAGUUUAAAAUAGACUGUGCAAGUGUAGUUUAUAUAAAUAGGUGAUGUACAGUUGCCUUCUAAGGCCAAUACAAGUGUAUUUAUUACCUAAAAUUAAACUGACCUAUGCAUGAAGAAACCAUGAAAUAUGAAGAAGCCAGCAGUUUUAUGAAAGAAAUUAAGUGGUACUUUACAAGAUUAUUAGAACUUCCAUUGAUUUUGUGAAUAAUUGGGUUCCUUGAUUAUUUUGUCUGUCUUCCCAGACAUUAAGUCAUCCCUUAUAAAUGAAAUUUAAUUACUGAUUAAAGAGAACAUGAGCACAUCCCCAAGCACAGUAACAGGGCUUGUGGUAGCACAACAAUUCAGCAGCUCCCUGCAGCAGCACACAGAACCCAUCCAAAAUUAGAUAGAGCCCCAACGUACUGCAAAACUACACUUUGCUGGCUCUCCCUGUGUUAUCAGGGAAAGCCACAACACCCAGGGGGUGAAAUCAGGUAAGUGUAGCUUGUGUUCCUACUUCUCCCUUAAAGCCAAUGUUCACAUACCCACAGUGCUUUAUGGACAAGCCCACGGUCUGGGCACGGGCACUCAUCCCUGCUGACAGCCAGCCUGCUGGCCUUGUCCUUCAGGGGCGCCCAGGGAGAAAAGAGGGCUGCAUUCUGCCUCAUCCAGGAAGAAAUGAGUUGAAAUGAUAGGAGAAAAGUAGCACAAACUGUAGGGUUGGUAGGAGCCAGGACACCACAGUACCACAGGUCACAAUGCUGCAUAGUUGUUCCAACCACUCUGAGGUUAGGCAGAUGUCACAGCACCUGGAUCUAGUCCAAAGUAGUAAAAUCAGAUCUAUUUCAAGAUAGUUAUGUCUCCUUUCAGUGGAAGAAGGGUUCCCUGAAAAUUUUACAUCGAUGUAACUACAACCAAACACCCUACCCAACCAUGACAUUUCUGUAAAGGCUGCAGAGCCACAAACAAGAUCUGGACUCAGCAGCUGCCCGUUAUCUGUGCCAGUCAGAGAUGCCAAAGAAGGCUGAUUUAAAUUUAAAAUCCUAUGAUUUGGAUAUUUAAAAAUGUACAUUAAAAAAUAUAUACAGACUCAAAUCAUUACUGAUUAAUUUUAUAAAUACAUUUUGGCACAUUUUCCAUGCAGCUUAACCUUUUGAAAAUAGUAGCUAUUACUGGGCCAAAAGCAUCUUUUAGGUUUAGAAGGUCUUUAAAUUCUAAACAUACCUGGUGCUUAUGUUUCAAAUAAAGAUUAAAAGCUAGUAAAAAAGUUUCACACUGAGCUAAAUCCACACCAGAAUGGUGUUAUAAAUAUGCAGAGGCUACAGGGAGUAAAAACAGGGGGGAAAAAAGAGUUCAGCAAAGAAAGCUCCUUUCUUUUCUCUUCAGGAUCAAAUGCCAUCUCCAGAUCCAAAAGAAAAAGGUGAAAACUAUCAAAAACCACAUAGAAUGGGAAUCUGCAGCAAAAUUUAGAACAGAAAUAUUCUUCAGUGAUGUGUAAGAGAACAAGGAAAUAAGCAGCAGGGAUGCUAUAAACUGUGGUGAGGAAUAAAUUAAAGCUGAUCUAGCUGUGACUAAAAUUUGCAGAGAUGAUAUUUAGAGUGUCCAGUUUUAGGCGUUCAACCUACAUAGCUCAAGAGGGAAUCUUUUAGUUUCUGCCUCUAAAUUAUACACCGUGAUUCAAGUUUAAACCUUCUAGAAGGUGACAUGCAAGUCCCUGUGAAUACUCAGUGAGAGGAGUACUCAAAACUUGCAGUGAGGAUGAGAUGGCUAAAGGCAAUAAGGUUGAGGAAUGGAUGUUACUAAAACCAAGUAAAGCUUGAUGUUCUCAAAGUGAAUACAUCCAGCAAUCACCUUUCUUGAAUAAGGAAGGCCUGAUAGUUUGGGUUUUUUUGGACAAAUUGUUCCAUCAAAUUAAGGCUUGAAAGAAGAAAAUAUACUGUUUGUUGGACGGUUGGACAGAAUAACUGGGGAAUUAUAGAUUCAUUCAUCUGACCUCAAUAAUACUCAAGUCUUUAGAACACACUGAAGGAUUUUAAUACAAAUAAAUGGAAACAAAAGUAAUGGUCCCAUACAGCAACCAGAAUAGAUUUUGCCAUGCUUGUACACUUCUACAAGAAAGGGAGAUGCUAAAGGAGAUGAAGAGAACCCAAACAAGACACUACACCUAUUUGUAGGCUAAUGAGCAUCUGCAAGGCAAACGUGGAGGCACCCUGUUCUCUAUAAUACUCCGUUUGUAGCUGUGAAUGCUUGCAUUAAUGCCAGUUAAUCUGCAGAGCUAUGAAGUGAGAGAAUGGAGUGUUGGCCACGGGACUGGAGUUAGCUGCUGCACUUCAAGCACCGUAAUUGAAUCCUACACAGCCUCCUGGACUCCACCAGAACCAAGCAGAUGGAGCCUCACUAAGCUGCUUGUUCAAAUACAAAUACAUAAUAAAGAAAUACACAUUAAGGGGUUGACACAACACCAAAGCAGAGGAAUGGGAAUGGUUUUACUAGAAGUGCUUCUCACUUAAACCUUUUUGGGGGCGCUUCCAAUAAAGUGAAGAAUUCACGGUUUGAACCAGGAGUAGCAGAAUAAAAUUGAGUCUAAGUAAAACCAGCUUACACUUAAGAUAGAAAUAAUAAGAUAAGAAGAAAACCAAGUAAAAGACAGUCUGACUGCUUUUAUGUAAUGCAUCAGCUUCAAGCAGCUCUGCAGUUUUCUGAGUUUUUGGAUCCUUGCAAUUAAGGCAGAACUUAUCCAUUAUAUCCUGCAGUACAAGGAUGCCUUUUAGCUUGCUUUGGGGUGUUUUUUGGGUUUUUUUUUUUUGGAAAGACUUGUCACUUCUCUCUUUCAUUCCUACUCCAGCUGAAAUUUGGACACCCCUUCCCCCUUUCCAGCAAAGCUUUAGAGAACAAAUAAAACAAGGAUGAAAAACUCUUUAGCUUUUUAGUUUAAAGAUAUUUAUGCUCUCAUUUGGCUCCCAUUUUCUUUCUUUCUUUAAAAUCCUUGAAAUCUUACAGUCAGUAGAAAACGUGCAACUUAAGUAUCUCUUUCUCCUGAAACCAUAGCAGAAACCAUCCAUCCUUCUGGGAUAAACAAGCUGAGAUAAAACUCUUUUGUUCUCUGUGCCACAACUGAAGAGAAAUUGCUUGCACCACCGGAUUAUAACUUCAUUUUAAAGUAGUUUUCUUAAUAAGUGAAAAGUGGGAGUCAGACUAUAGAAAGAGAUGGGGCAGAGAAAAAAGAGAACAAGAAACACAAGAAGAAUAAACUUCAGAAGACUUCUCUACUACCUUACGGAUAUCAUAUUCUAAUUUUGACAUACUUCCUACUCACAGAGUCAUUUUGUCCACAAAUGUUUUUGUACCAGCUCUUUUAAUUUUAAGAAUAUUUUCAAAGAGUACUACCUUACGCAUUGUAUCUCCCUACACACGGCCCUACUGUUUUGUCAGGAUGCAUUCUUGACUCACUGUAUUAAAUACCCUGAGGACAGUAUUAGCUGCAACACAGAUAGGUAAGGAAGAGGAUGUGAAAUGGAGUCUUAAUUCUGAAUUCCCUGACCAACCUUGUUGCUCAAAUGGAAAUAAAGAGUAUGGGAGAAAACCAAACAGGAGAAGGAGAACACAGUUUUCUAUUCUUAUUUAAAGGAUAACGAUGUCCUAAGGGAACCAAUAAAAGAAAAUGAAAUUGUACAAAGGACAACUCCAGUACAUCUAGUAAACCUUGUAGGAAAAAACAACAACAAUCAAUAAUAAAAAACUAUUCACAAGAAUGCUAAAUAAAGCCAGCUAGGAGUAGAGCCUUUUGAAAUGCAUAUAUUGUUUUCUGGGUUUGAAGACUUCAAAAAUCAUUAUUCAUAAUCCAGGUUGAAAUUCAAUAAAGAUAUUUGCCCAGUG